CAGCCGCCGCGGUAAUACGAAGGGUGCAAGCGUUACUCGGAAUUACUGGGCGUAAAGCGUGCGUAGGUGGUGGUUUAAGUCCGUUGUGAAAGCCCUGGGCUCAACCUGGGAAUUGCAGUGGAUACUGGGUCACUAGAGUGUGGUAGAGGAUAGUGGAAUUUCCGGUGUAGCAGUGAAAUGCGUAGAGAUCGGAAGGAACAUCUGUGGCGAAGGCGACUAUCUGGGCCAACACUGACACUGAGGCACGAAAGCGUGGGGAGCAAACAGGAUUAGAUACCCCGUGUAGUCCCUGUCUCUUAUA
rnacentral:rRNA from 1 species